CCCCCCCCGUCCCCCACCUUUGGCGGUGUGCUGAGGGGUCCCCAGCAGUUCAUAGCUGGCGAAGCCGACCUCGGGGGAGGUGAGAUAGGAGGGGAACUGCUCCGGGCGCAGGCGGAUGCGGUGGUAGUUCCGGUACGUCGUCUCCGUCAGCCCCUUCCUCUUGCGGUAGGAAGCCCAAGGUUGGGGCUCCAGCAGCAGCAGCCCCCCCGGGCGCAGAUGUCGAUACGCCCUCCGGAAGAGCCUUUUGAGCCCCUCGUCCCCCCA
rnacentral:lncRNA from 1 species